GACGAACGCUGGUGGCGUGCUUAACACAUGCAAGUCGAACGGGAUUUAGUAAACAGCAGCCUCGGUGGAAGAUUACUAAUGAGAGUGGCGAACGGGUGAGUAACGCGUGAGCAACCUGCCUAUGACAGUGGGAUAGCCUCGGGAAACCGGGAUUAAUACCGCAUAAAAUCGUAGAAACACAUGUUUUAACGGUCAAAGAUUUAUCGGUCAUAGAUGGGCUCGCGUCUGAUUAGCUAGUUGGUGAGAUAACAGCCCACCAAGGCGACGAUCAGUUGCCGGUCUGAGAGGAUGAACGGCCACAUUGGAACUGAGACACGGUCCAAACUCCUACGGGAGGCAGCAGUGGGGAAUAUUGCACAAUGGGGGAAACCCUGAUGCAGCGACGCCGCGUGAACGAAGAAGGUAUUCGUAUCGUAAAGUUCUGUCCUAUGGGAAGAUAAUGACAGUACCAUAGAAGAAAGCUCCGGCUAAAUACGUG
rnacentral:rRNA from 1 species